UACGAAGGGGGCGAGCGUUGUUCGGAAUCACUGGGCUUAAAGCGUGCGUAGGCGGGGAGGGAAGGCAGAAGUGAAAUCCCUGGGCUUAACCCAGGAAUUGCUUUUGAAACUCCCUGUCUAGAAACCGAGAGAGGUUAGCGGAAUAUCCAGUGUAGAGGUGAAAUUCGCAGAUAUUGGAUGGAACACCAGUGGCGAAGGCGGCUAACUGGCUCGGUAUUGACGCUGAGGCACGAAAGCGUGGGUAGCAAACAGG
rnacentral:rRNA from 1 species